AAUGAAGGAACAGUGCAAGUAAAGCUGCGGUGCGGACUUGAGAUCGAGUGACUUCACCCGGCCGGCGUCCGCGCACCAAGCAAGCUAAACAACAACCACAGCAGGCCGCCGCCCGGCCGGCCAUGGCGGCGUGGAUGCGGUCGCUCUUCUCGCCGCUCAAGAAGCUCUGGAUCCGCAUGCAUUCCGCGCACAGCAAGAGAAGGGGCAUCUACAUCCUGUACGAGGACGUCAAGUCGUGCCCCUGCGAGGACGUGCACAUCCUCUGGUCCAUCCUCGUCGACUCGUCCCACUCCCGCCCGCCGCCGAUGCGCCUAGACCAUCACUGACUCGCUCGUCCCUCCGGCCGCCGCGCCCACGCCGUUGAGCAAGGCGACUGAUUGGUCCGAGUUCGACCGACACAAUGAAACUGUCGGUGUGUGCACAUACAUAAAGAUGACGACCACGACCAGUGCCGGCGGCCGGUAUAGUUCACCUUCUUCAGCCGUGAUACACGUGUGGUCUUUAUUUGAUCCACGGACACGGAGAUGGUGUGCGUCGUAGGUGAUGAGCUCCUCCGUUCAUCCUGCGCUGCCGCCUCUUCCGUCCUCCAGAAGAGCAGGUGCAGUGCAGAGCAGGCGUCCCUCUCCCUCACCGACACUGCGGAGCGGUUUUUUCUUCCUUUUCCUUUCUCCUUCUUCGCUUUGUUUUUGGAAAAGGAACGGCACGGUCUGCCGGUCUGGUGUGGUGAUCAGGGGUCAAUGGGCCGCGUGUGCAUCUGUCUAGCUUGUAAAUACAAAAGACAAAGAGCCAAAGAAAAAUAUAUAUAUAUAUAUGAUGUGUAUAUAUAUACGGAU
rnacentral:misc_RNA from 1 species